CCUACGGGAGGCAGCAGUGGGGAAUAUUGCGCAAUGGGCGAAAGCCUGACGCAGCGACGCCGCGUGAGGGAUGAAGGUCUUCGGAUCGUAAACCUCUGUCAGCAGGGAAGAACGGUCACUUUGCUAAUCAGCAGUGCAUUGACGGUACCUGCCAAGGAGGCACCGGCUAACUCCGUGCCAGAAGCCGCGUUAAUACGGAGGGGGCGAGCGUUAAUCGGAAUUACUGGGCGUAAAGCGUUAGUAGGCCGUAUGUCAAGUCAAGGGUGAAAUCCCCGGGCUCAACGUGGGAACUGCCUUUGAAACUGGCAAACUGGAGUGUGUGAGAGGAUAGUGGAAUUCCAGGUGUAGGAGUGAAAUCCGUAGAUAUCUGGAGGAACAUCAGUGGCGAAGGCGACUAUCUGGCACAUAACUGACGCUGAGGAGCGAAAGCGUGGGUAGCAAACAGGAUUAGAUACCCGAGUAGUC
rnacentral:rRNA from 1 species